ACGCGCUAGUCAGGCGUCGGUCCGUAGGGAGCGCUGCCUGUGGUAUGAGGAAGAAUUGGGCGGGCAGCCUCACCCUGACAUCACCGCCAGCGGAGGAGAGGGAGGGAUCUGCUGCAGCAGCGGUGGAGGAUGUGGUCAGCGAGGAGCAUUGCCCUGUGGUAGGAGGAAGAAGGGACGGCCUGUGCGGUGUCCACCGUUGGACAACACCACAGGACGUGGUGGCGAGGCUGGUGAGCACCGUGGCAGCCAUUUGCUGCUCCCUCGUCUCCAAUCGAUUGGGCGAGAACCUUCCAAAAGCUUUGGGAAGCCCACCUGAUCGAGCCAUGGAGAAGCAGAAGCCAACCCUCGACGGCCCCUCCUUGCUCUAAGCUGCUCCAAGGUCGAGCUCUGCUUGCCCCACGCGCCGCCAGGAAGGAGCCGUCAACCUCACGGCUUGAGCUCUUGCUGGGGUGAGAUCGAGGGAGAAGUCGAUGCUCGCUACUGCUAGCUCCCUACUCCACCCACCAUCGUGAUGGUGGGACCUGCUCCGCGCGAGCUGCUGCUCCUUGCUGCUCGGGAUGUUUCUG
rnacentral:lncRNA from 1 species